UACGUAGGGGGCAAGCGUUGUCCGGAUUUAUUGGGCGUAAAGAGCGUGUAGGCGGCCUGGCAAGUCCGCUGUGAAAACUCGAGGCUCAACCUCGAGACGCCGAUGGAAACCAUCUGACUAGAGUCCGGAAGAGGAGAGUGGAAUUCCUGGUGUAGCGGUGAAAUGCGCAGAUAUCAGGAAGAACACCCGUGGCUAAGGCGGCUCUCUAGUACGUGACUGACGCUGAGACGCGAAAGCGUGGGGAGCGAACAGG
rnacentral:rRNA from 1 species